CCCUUAGAUGUCCUGGGCCGUACGCGCGCUACACUGAUGCAUUCAACGAGUUUUACCUUGGCCGAGAGGCCUGGGCAAUCUUUUGAACCUGCAUCGUGAUAGGGAUAGAUUAUUGCAAUUAUUAAUCUUGAACGAGGAAUUCCUAGUAAACGCAGAUCAUCAAUCUGCAUUGAUUACGUCCCUGCCCUUUGUACACACCGCCCGUCGCACCUACCGAUUGAAUGGUCCGGUGAAGCCUCGGGAUUGUGGCGAGUUCCCUUUAUUGGGAGUUUGUCGCGAGAACUUGUCUAAACCUUAUCAUUUAGAGGAAGGUGAAGUCGUAACA
rnacentral:rRNA from 1 species